rnacentral:rRNA from 1 species
AGCGAACGCUGGCGGCAGGCCUAACACAUGCAAGUCGAACGAACCUUUCGGGGUUAGUUGCGGACGGGGGUGUAACACGUGGGAACGUGCCUUUAGGUUCGGAAUAACUCAGUGAAACUUGUGCUAAUACCGAAUGUGCUCUUCGGGGGAAAGAUUAAUCGGCUCUAGAGCGGCACGCGUCUGUUUAGCUAGUUGGUUGAGGUAAUGGCGCCCCAAGGCUACGAUCAGUAGCUGGUCUGAGAGGAUGAUCAGCCACAUUGGGACUGAGACACGGCCCAAAAUCCUGCGGGAGGCAGCAGAGGGGAAUCCAGCGCAAUGGGGGAAAGCCUGACGCCGCCAGGCCGGGUGAAUGAUGAAGGUCUGAGGAAAGUAAAAUUCUUUCACCGGGGACGAUACUGACGGUACCCGGAGAAGAAGCCCCGGCUAACUUCGUG